CUUUGUUGAUUCUAUUGAAUACGUGUACGGCUUCUGGAACUUUCUAUAGUCACGGACUCGUUUCUGGACCACUUCCUGUCUUUUCUGGUGAUAACAUCGAUAUAAAUAUAACUCCUGGUGGCAUUGCCGUAGAAAAUGCGAAUAUAAUAAAGGCUGACAUAACAACGUUGGAUGCUGUAAUUCACAUUAUUGAUGCCGUUAUUUCACCCAGAGUAGGAGAUUCUACCAUUUCAAGUGACAUUGAAAAUCAUUUCUUUAUCAAACAGCAUACAUUUUAUUAGUUGCCUUUAACAUGCUAAACUUAAUGGGUGACUGAAAAAAUUGGGUGAUUAUUAUUUUUGUUUAAUUUAUUGUUAUAUUGUGAAAAAACUGGUAAAUAUGAAGGUAUGAUU